UAAAUAAAUAAAUUUAUUUAAAAAAAAAAAGAUAAUGGAGUGCCCACAUCACAGCCAUUUGGGUGGCAGAGUCAGAAUUCAGAAGUAGGUCUCCAGACUCCCUCUACAGCUGCGGAGAGAAGAGGCACACUUAUUAUUCCCAGCUCUCCAUCCUCAUGUUACCGCUUCCCUCGGAGGCGACUGGACAAUAACGAACGUUCACAGCGAGAAAGAGACAUGGCAGGAGGCAGCUAGCGGGGCGAUGUACUGGAGGAUGGUUUGCCAACCUCAGAACUGAAAGCUGGGAGAAUGAGGGUGGCUCGGCCAGCUCCAAUCCCUGUAAUCGUGGUCGGUGAGGAUGUGAUGCGACCAGAGAAGCUGGGACAGAAGACAGUGGCCGCAUUGUUCUGCGGGACUGAGGCGGAACGUACUUCCUCACCAUUUGUUUCUCUGGCCUCCUGAACUCCACUAGAUGGCAUUGCCCUCGCCCCGUGCCAGCUGCCCAAGUGGCCUUUUUCUCCAAGGAAAUAAAUCGGAUUGAAAUUGAUUAUACCCAGGGUGUCAUUGACCAAAGCUCUUUGCCUGCAAUCCCAGGAGCUGCCACCAGGUGGUGGUGAGCCAGUUUAGAUGCACAGGCUCCCUUCCAGGGGAAGUGUGAGGGACUGACAAAGCUUAAGCAGUUUUUUUUUUUUUAACUUCAAAAAAGGAAGAAAAGAAGAAAAGGAAGGAAGGAAGGAAAGGAGGGAGGGAGGGAGGAAGGAACCAAACUACAACGAAAAUGUCAGGACAACAUUAUGAAUUAACAAAAUGCGUCUAUUGAUAAGUUUUUUUCUAAACAGAGCGGCUAGAGACCAACUUUCUUCUCCCUCCCAGCCCGUCCCCUUCCAGUCUCCUCUGCCCCCCUCUCGGAGUUCCUAGCUCAAGGAGUGGGAACAUUUUUUAUGGCUGAUAUUC